AGCAGCCGCGGUAAUUCCAGCUCCAAUAGCGUAUAUUAAAGUUGUUGCAGUUAAAAAGCUCGUAGUUGAAUUUCGGGGUUAGCAAGUUGGUCGUGCCAUUGGUAUGCACUGGCUUUGCUGAUUCCUCCUUCUUGAAGAACUGUAAUGCUAUUAAUUUAGUGUUGCAGGGAAACAGGACUGUUACUUUAGAAAAAAUUAGAGUGUUUAAAGCAGGCUAACGCUUGAAUACAUUAGCAUGGAGUAAUGAAAUAGGACGUUUGAUCCUAUUUUGUUGGUUUCUAGGAUUGACGUAAUGAUUAAUAGGGAUAGUUGGGGGCAUUAGUAUUCAAUUGUCAGAGGUGAAAUUCUUGGAUUUAUUGAAGACUAACUACUGCGAAAGCAUUUGCCAAGGAUGUUUUCAUUAAUCAAGAACGAAAGUUAGGGGAUCGAAGACGAUCAGAUACCGUCGUAGUCUUAACCAUAAA
rnacentral:rRNA from 1 species